rnacentral:rRNA from 1 species
AUUGAACGCUGGUGGCAGGCCUAACACAUGCAAGUCGAACGAGUGGCGGACGGGUGAGUAAUGUCUGGGAAACUGCCUGAUGGAGGGGGAUAACUACUGGAAACGGUAGCUAAUACCGCAUACCAUCGGAUGUGCCCAGAUGGGAUUAGCUAGUGGGUGGGGUAAAGGCUCACCUAGGCGACGAUCCCUAGCUGGUCUGAGAGGAUGACCAGCCACACCGGCACUGAGAGACGGUCCAGACUCCUACGGGAGGCAGCAGUGGGGAAGAUGGCACAAUGGGCGCAAGCCUGAUGCAGCCAUUCCGCGUGUAUGAAGAAGGCCUUCGGGUUGUAAAGUACUUUAAGCGGGGAGGCGGUACCCGCAGAAGAAGCACCGGCUAACUACGUGCCAGCAGCCGCGGUAAUUC